ACCCGCUGAACUUAAGCAUAUCAAUAAGCGGAGGAAAAGAAACCAACAGGGAUUGCCUCAGUAACGGCGAGUGAAGCGGCAAGAGCUCAAAUUUGAAAGCUGGCUCCUUCGGGGUCCGCAUUGUAAUUUGCAGAGGAUGCUUCGGGAGCGGCCCCCAUCUAAGUGCCCUGGAACGGGCCGUCAUAGAGGGUGAAAAUCCCGUCUGGGAUGGGGUGUCCGCGCCCGUGUGAAGCUCCUUCGACGAGUCGAGUUGUUUGGGAAUGCAGCUCUAAAUGGGUGGUAAAUUUCAUCUAAAGCUAAAUAUUGGCCGGAGACCGAUAGCGCACAAGUAGAGUGAUCGAAAGAUGAAAAGCACUUUGAAAAGAGAGUUAAACAGCACGUGAAAUUGUUGAAAGGGAAGCGCUUGCGACCAGACUCGCCCACGGGGUUCAGCCGGCAUUCGUGCCGGUGUACUUCCCCGCGGGCGGGCCAGCGUCGGUUUGGGCGGCCGGUCAAAGGCCCUCGGAAUGUAACGCCCCCCGGGGCGUCUUAUAGCCGAGGGUGCCAUGCGGCCAGCCCAGACCGAGGAACGCGCUUCGGCUCGGACGCUGGCAUAAUGGUCGUAAGCGACC
rnacentral:rRNA from 1 species